GAUGAACGCUGGCGGCGUGCUUAACACAUGCAAGUCGAACGAAGCACUUAUCUUUGAUUCUUCGGAUGAAGAGGUUUGUGACUGAGUGGCGGACGGGCGAGUAACGCGUGGGUAACCUGCCUCAUACAGGGGGAUAACAGUUAGAAAUGACUGCUAAUACCGCAUAAGACCACGGAGCCGCAUGGCUCAGUGGGAAAAACUCCGGUGGUAUGAGAUGGACCCGCGUCUGAUUAGGUAGUUGGUGGGGUAACGGCCUACCAAGCCAACGAUCAGUAGCCGACCUGAGAGGGUGACCGGCCACAUUGGGACUGAGACACGGCCCAAACUCCUACGGGAGGCAGCAGUGGGGAAUAUUGCACAAUGGGGGAAACCCUGAUGCAGCGACGCCGCGUGAGCGAAGAAGUAUUUCGGUAUGUAAAGCUCUAUCAGCAGGGAAGAAAAUGACGGUAC
rnacentral:rRNA from 1 species